CCACUCCUCUGUGUGAUUCAACAAAGAGCGAAGACAAAAGUCAAGCCGGGAGGCGGGACAGGGUGACUGCUCCGCAUCUAUAGUCUUGGAGAAGUGAGCAGGUACCACCGGGACCACCCUGGCUCCUGGGACACGAAGCAGGGCCAUCUACAUUGAUUCCAUUCUCCACUGACCCUAAAGACACAGGUCUAGCAGAGGAAGUCACCCACGACCUGCCGGUCCCACCACCUGCUGGUCCCACGACCUUCCUCAAUCCAGCCUCCUUUCCCUUGCCCUCUCCUGCCCCAAAGGAGGCCACUUUUCCAACUGGGAAGAGUCCGUUUCCAUGUCAAGUAAACAUUCUGUGUGGUAGCCUACUGCAUCCAGUCAUCCAUCCAUCCAUCUAACAUACUCGUGAUAGAAAAGCCAACUGCACUGUAAUACAAGCAGAGGAACUGAAGACUGUAUAACAGGAAAACUGGGGGCUUCCAAACUCAUGAAAAGAACUUAGGAAAAGAGCCUCAUGUCUAGCAAGUGAGAAGCCUCUGCACCACCGGUUCCCACUGCCAUGUGCGUCUGUCUGUCAGCUCUGGUUUCGGCCAGGGACUUUCUGAAGCACAUGCUUGCCAAGGCUGAGUGGUCUGAAGUGAGGCCUUGCUGACCAGCGGUGGUUACGGCCAGAACUCAGAGGAAGGCCCCCGCACUGCCCGGGCUCUUGGGAGGACAUCGAUGACUCUCGACCCCAAAGACACCUACACCCUCUCUGUAGAACACCUAGGGAGUUCUUUUCACAGUGCCGGUGCUCAACGGCAAAACCUUUUAAGAGAAAAAUUGUUUUGGAAAGAUUUUUCAAGAUCCUGAAUGUUCUAAAAUGGGACUUGUGAGCUGCUGUCUUCUCAAAGGCACUAACAGCACAAUGCAGGUGGGCGCCUCGCUGACAGCUGUCACUCGCCUGCAUCCUUCCUGUAGCAUUUCAAAACUGGCUCUUCCUUUCCCUUUGUUUUGGUAGACUGUCUUGUCUUCUCUACUUAAGCCUGACAGAAUAUAACCUUAAGCCUGAGAAAUCGGGUCCUUGAGUCUGGUCAGGGGGGGCACCUGCAUUCAUAGUCAUCUGCUGGGGUUCUGGGAAGUGGCAGGCCCGUGUUUCCUGGCCCUCUGUUAGGUUUAAGCUUCUUGCAGGGGAAAGAGGGUAAAUUCUUUAUUACAAAUCCCAGAAGGGCCUGAAAUGUACGACCAGUAAGGACAACUAGUGGGUCUCUGAAAGAGAGAGCUUCCCUUCUUGUGAUAAACCAUAAUGGAAAAGAAUGUGAAGAGGAAUAUAUAUGUGCGUAAUUCAUCACUUGGCUAUACAGCAGAAAUUUACACAACAUUGUAAAUCAACUAUACUUCGAUAAAAUUAAAAAAAAAAAGAAUGAGCUUUCCAAUGAUUUUUUAGGCAUGAUACUAAAAGAAAAUAUCAAUCAACUGGACUCUGCUGAA